CGGACGGGUGAGUAACACGUGGAUAACCUACCUAUAAGACUGGGAUAACUUCGGGAAACCGGAGCUAAUACCGGAUAAUAUAUUGAACCGUAUGGUUCAAUAGUGAAAGACGGUUUUGCUGUCACUGAUAGAUGGAUCCGCGCCGCAUUAGCCAGUUGGUAAGGUAACGGCUUACCAAGGCAACGAUGCGUAGCCGACCUGAGAGGGUGAUCGGCCACACUGGAACUGAGACACGGUCCAG
rnacentral:rRNA from 1 species